rnacentral:rRNA from 1 species
GACGAACGCUGGCGGCGUGCUUAACACAUGCAAGUCGAACGGUGAAGCGCCUUCCUUUUUGGUGGGUGUGGAUGAGUGGCGAACGGGUGAGUAACACGUGAGUAACCUGCCCCCUUCUUCUGGAUAACCGCAUGAAAGUGUGGCUAAUACGGGAUAUUCUGGGUCUGUCGCAUGAUGGGUCUGGGAAAGAUAUUGUUUCGGUGGGGGAUGGGCUCGCGGCCUAUCAGCUUGUUGGUGGGGUGAUGGCCUACCAAGGCGGUGACGGGUAGCCGGCCUGAGAGGGUGGACGGUCACACUGGGACUGAGACACGGACCAGACUCCUACGGGGGGCAGCAGUGGGGAAUAUUGCACAAUGGGCGCAAGCCUGAUGCAGCGACGCCGCGUGAGGGAUGGAGGCCGUCGGGUUGUGAACCUCUUUCGCCAGUGAAGCAGGCCUGCCUCGUUUGUGGGUGGGUUGACGGUAGCUGGAUAAGAAGCGCCGGCUAACUACGUG